AUGAGCUGCACAAGGAUCAGUGGUGCAGUCCUCGUUUUUGCCUUGCUCUUCGCCCCGUUAUUGCUCACGCUCUGCCUUCCCCUUGCCUGCGCUCGCCAUGUGGUGGCGCUGGAGGCCAAAGAUGGCCUGAACAUUGGAGGGGGCCGGCAGCAGGUGGUUGGUGAUGACGCAGGAAAGGCUGUCCCCGUCUCGAACGCCGGCGGCUCACGGCCAGUGAGGACGGUGGAGUUGCCCGCGGCGAGGAGGCACCGGGUGGACGCGGCGGAGGAGUUGCACGACAUGCUGAGGAGGGACUACGCGUGGAGGGCGAGGCGCCGCAAGCCCAUCCACAACGACGAGCCUCGCGACGACGAGCCCUAA
rnacentral:rRNA from 1 species